UUGGGAAUAUUGCGCAAUGGGGGAAACCCUGACGCAGCGACGCCGCGUGCGGGAUGAAGGUCUUCGGAUCGUAAACCGCUUUUCUAAAGGACGAUAAUGACGGUACUUUAGGAAUAAGCCCCGGCUAACUCCGUGCCAGCAGCCGCGGUAAGACGGAGGGGGCAAGCGUUGUCCGGAAUUACUGGGCGUAAAGCGCUCGUAGGCGGUUUGUUACGGUAGUGGUGAAAGCUCCUGGCUCAACUGGGAGAGGUCCACUACAACGGGCAGACUCGAGGUAUGUAGAGGCAAAUGGAAUUCCUGGUGUAGCGGUGAAAUGCGUAGAGAUCAGGAGGAACACCAAUGGCGAAGGCAGUUUGCUGGGCAUAAUCUGACGCUGAGGAGCGAAAGCUAGGGGAGCAAACG
rnacentral:rRNA from 1 species